UACGAAGGGGGGCUAGCGUUGCUCGGAAUCACUGGGCGUAAAGGGUGCGUAGGCGGGUCUUUAAGUCAGGGGUGAAAUCCUGGAGCUCAACUCCAGAACUGCCUUUGAUACUGAAGAUCUUGAGUUCGGGAGAGGUGAGUGGAACUGCGAGUGUAGAGGUGAAAUUCGUAGAUAUUCGCAAGAACACCAGUGGCGAAGGCGGCUCACUGGCCCGAUACUGACGCUGAGGCACGAAAAGCGUGGGGAGCAAACAGGGAGU
rnacentral:rRNA from 1 species